CCCUUGGUGCGUGAGGUACGUUUGUGUUUUUCCCGUGCUUAAUUCCAGAACUAUUCCCAAUUGUCCGGAAUUCUGGACAACGAUAGUAAUUAUGACAUAUCAAGUGUUAUGUUUUCCUGUAAAAUGACCUUCCGAGUGUAUAAUGCAACAAGAACAAAGAGAAGCGCUGUUUGAGGUGCCCCGGGACAACACGGAAGAGCAAGUACCUGUGCAGGGGUUCAAAGAAAGCUUACGUGGCCGUCACCUGCACCUGUACUGCAACACAUGCUGCUUGAGGUGGGAUGCCCAAGAGGGAGGCGAUGAGGACACAGAGGAGGACGAUGUGUAGUGCUGCCCGGCAGGACGUGUCAACUGUCCGUUCCCCUUCUGCCCACUAAACCCUUGAGUCGCUUGUCCUACAGCAACCUGAGCGGCAUAAGGGCUUCUGAGGCUGGAACAUUUUGGGGGACGUGUGAACACCACUUGUGGCACAACUCAACACAAUCAGCCAACACGGUGCCUGGCAGUGGUGCCUUCAUUAGAGAAAGGUAGCAUUUUUUGAAAGUUUCACGCUUUUUUUUCAUAAUGUUAUUUUUGGGUAAUAUGUAAAGUUUAUAGGUCAUAGAAUUAAGAAUGUAUUCUAGUUUAAGUAAAAGUUUUGUAAUUAAACUUUGUACCAUUCCUAUAUGUGUUUUCAAGCCCGCAAAGUUUGUCUGGAAUUCCGGACAUCAGUAGUAACCAUGUUAGUCCGACAAUGAUGGUAAUGUAGGGUUAAGGGAAGGGGAUUAGGCCUUCUUCUUCACUUUUAAGUACUUGCACCUUCAUAUUAUGGUUGAGGGACAUGUAUUUCGUCCCUUAACUAUAAUAUGGAGGCAUAAUAUUGUAUUUUGGAGGCGCGGAGUCAAUCUCCACAAUUACCAGCAUCAGGAUAUAAUUGUCAAUGAAACACAGGGGAUACAAAACACAGCGUUCUAUUUCCUGGCUACAAAAAGGCACAUGAUCGCCUCCUGCACGAAAACAUUGACAGCUGUGCGGCAUUUGUGGCUUUAUCAAAACUUAAAGUGACAGAUAUCAACAACCAGACAGCGGGUUGAUUCCCACUGACAGUAUUGACACGAGGGUAACAUAGGAACAAAGUUUAGUACACACACACACACACACACACUCUCUCUCUCUCUCUCUAACGCAACUAUAUGUAACUAAACACUAUCAUAGGUAAAUACAUGACUGAAAUAACUUAUAGUUCAUCCAUUUUACAGCAUAAUAACAAAAGUGUGUCUUUAUAUAACAUGGUAGGAGGAAAACACUAUGAACUGAAAAAAUAAAAUAUAGAACCUUGUCGAGGAAAAACAUUAAGCUACUGCAAACACAAAAAACUGCACACUAACAUUAAGAAGUAAAAAAAGGAGAUGUACAUAAUAUAAAACAGGGAGGAAGGGGCAUCUUUGGGUAGGGAGGGGGUGGGGGUGGGGGGUGGUUAGUGAAGGGAAGGGAAGGGGCAAGUAUGGGGGGUGAGGGGCAUAGGUAGUUAAGGGAAGAGAAGGGAUGUGGGGUGAUGGGCAAGUUGUGUGUGUUGGGUGGGUAGUGAAGGGAAG